AAUCGUUUUCAAGGCAGGGUGUAAAUCCCGACCGGCGGUGAAAGCCCGCAACCCAGUGUAUUUUAUACAAUGGUGGAUUUUGUGAAAUUCAAAAGCCGAUGGUAUAGUCCAGAUGAGAGAAAACGCAU
rfam:Lactobacillus mellifer strain Bin4 genomic scaffold Bin4_scaffold1, whole genome shotgun sequence.